GAUGAAGAACGCAGCGAAAUGCGAUACGUAUUGUGAAUUGCAGAAUUCAGUGAAUCAUCGAAUCUUUGAACGCAUAUUGCGCUCUCUGGUAUUCCGGAGAGCAUGCUUGUUUGAGUAUCAGUAAACACCUCAACUUCCAUAUCUUUUUUGAAAUGGGAGUUGGACUUGAGUGAUCCCAACGCUUUUCCUCACCGAAAAGUGGCGGGUUACUUGAAAUGCAGGUGCAGCUGGACUUUUCUCUGAGCUAUAAGCAUAUCUAUUUAGUCUGCCUAAAAAACAGAUUAUUACCUUUGCUGCAGCUAACAUAAAGGAGAUUAGUUCUUGUGCUGACUGAUGCAGGAUUCACAAAGACAGGCUUCGGCCGACUUUGUAAACUCGAUCUCAAAUCAAGUAAGACUACCCGCUGAACUUAAGCAUAUCAAUAAGCGGAGGA
rnacentral:misc_RNA from 1 species